rnacentral:snRNA from 1 species
GGACGGACCUGGCUGCGGCAUCUGUCACCUCACUAAUGGCCAGGGUUGAUUCAGCUAACCUGGCUGGCAAGGAGGGUGCCCCCUUCCCCUCCCUCCCUCCUGAAUCCUGUCAAAGGAGAGGACUUUCCCGUAGAAGAGGACCAGGCUUCAGGCAAGUGUGUGAAUAGCUGAGCUCCCAGAUGGAACCCUGAAGCAAGCUCUCUGGAGGAGCUGGGCCUGUGGGCAAGAGCAGCCACAGCCUCU